CCUACGGGCGGCUGCAGUGGGGAAUAUUGCACAAUGGGCGCAAGCCUGAUGCAGCCAUGCCGCGUGUGUGAAGAAGGCCUUCGGGUUGUAAAGCACUUUCAGCGGGGAGGAAGGCGGUGAGGUUAAUAACCUCAUCGAUUGACGUUACCCGCAGAAGAAGCACCGGCUAACUCCGUGCCAGCAGCCGCGGUAAUACGGAGGGUGCAAGCGUUAAUCGGAAUUACUGGGCGUAAAGCGCACGCAGGCGGUCUGUCAAGUCGGAUGUGAAAUCCCCGGGCUCAACCUGGGAACUGCAUUCGAAACUGGCAGGCUAGAGUCUUGUAGAGGGGGGUAGAAUUCCAGGUGUAGCGGUGAAGUGCGUAGAGAUCUGGAGGAAUACCGGUGGCGAAGGCGGCCCCCUGGACAAAGACUGACGCUCAGGUGCGAAAGCGUGGGGAGCAAACAGGAUUAGAUACCCGGGUAGUC
rnacentral:rRNA from 1 species